rnacentral:lncRNA from 1 species
UUUAUAUUAAAAAUAACAAUAUGAAUGAAUGUAAUGACAUAUAUGCAUAAAUUGAAUAAAACAUACGAGACCAUGUACAAUUCUUAAUACUGGAACGAAGGUAGAACGGAAAGAAUCACAUUAUCGUAUCAAAAUGGUUUUUUUUAAUUUCUUUGCCUUGGAAGUAAUUCAACAAAUGUUAAGAUAUUGAUUGUUAUAAAAUAGUAUGCAAAUGAUAUCUACUUUGAAACUUUCGGUUGUCUUGAGCCUACAAACCUGUCAUCAUCAGAUGUUGGCAUUUCAAAUAAGGUCCAAUAAGACAAAUAAAGAGGACAUUGGACAAGAAGGUAACAAAUUGAUAGUCAAAAUAUCAAAAAUCUGUUAGAACUCCCGCUAAAUAUUGAUUACAAUUAAAAUUAUCUUUUUUACCAAAUUUUAUUUGCCGUUUUCAGAAUAACACGAAUUUGUCCCUUUGUUGUAGUAAGUACAUGAAAUUUAAAGGGAACAAUUAAUCAUUAGACCAACAAACACAAAAUAAAAAAACAUGACAUUUAUUUGAUUGUAAUUGUUGUUGUACUGUUUCGUUACACGUGACUGCUGUUAAAAAUUCUAACAUUAUCUUCAGUCUUUUUGUUUUCACUGUUUCUUCAAUAUUUGAAAUAUCUUCUAC